CAUUGUGCACACUUACCGUAGAUGGACUAGUCCAGGGGUACCCAAAGUCGGUCCUCGAGGGCCGGCAUCCUGCACCUUUUAGGUCUCUCCCUGGUAGUAGUAACAACCUGUUCAGCUUUUCAAUCUUCCUCUUAGGCCGUCUAACGAGCCAUGAUUUGAUCCAGGUGCGUUAAACCAGGGAGAGAACUAAAACAUGCAAGAUGCCAGCCCUCCAGGACCGACUUUGGGCACCCCUGGACUAGACUCUAUUCCUUAAGAAGGUGGGGAGGGAGGGCUGUCUGUCUGUCUGUCUGUCUGUAGAGGUGUGCUCUGUCCCAUCAUGCAGAGUCCCUACAGCUGAUUGGACAAAGGAGGAUGCGCCAUACUAGUAGCCAACCUGACCAUCCUCUUGAUGCACAGUAACUCAGUAAGAAUGCCUUCAGUCAGAGGCUCUUUCAGAUCUGCUGCAACACAGGCUACUACAGAUCUUUCCUGCCAGCAGCUUUAGCAGUUUCUCAUAAUCUCUUAUUCUUACAGCAAAUGGUUUGGAAUUUCCCCCCAAGAAUAGUAAAGUAUCAUUGAAUUAAAUGAAUUGUAUACAGAUCAGUUCAAAUUCAAUUCAAAAACACUUUAUCGAUCCCAAAGGGACAUUAAAUAAAAAUUUGAUUAAAUAAACUAAGUUAAAAAAUGAAGAACCUGUAAAUAUUGCUCAUGUCCUCUUCUUUACAAACACAUACCAGUUGUAUGUGUAUUGGUUUUACAUUUUUUUUCACUUUUAGUUGCAACUCUGUCCAUCUACUGUGAAUAGUAGAUGCAGUAGUUCUGUUUUGAAACAUACAUCACCUUACAAUUGUAUUCCAAUUCCCUCAGCGGAAACCUGAAAUCCACUGCAGAUAAUUAUUUUUUCAAAAUCCCUUGCUUGUAAACAGAGUUCCCAUUAGACGUUUCUGAGCAUGUAGGACAUCUUGGAGGAAAACAUGUCUGAGGCUGAAGGAGGCCUGACAUCUUCCAGCAGCACAACAAGAAACACACAGACAGACAUAUUAUGGGAUGGUUUAGAUUGAUGCACAUUCAUGUGAUGGAAUGGUCUAAUCAAAGUCCUAACCUAAAUCUUUUUCAAAAUUGACGUUUAGACUAGAACUUGAGCUAUUUUGUAAUCACAUGGGCUAGCCCAGUGGCCUAUGUCAUUACAUAGGUAGAUUCUAAAAGCUUCUGGAGAUCAAAAUAUCUAUGGAAGGAAACCUUCAGCUUUCCUUGCAUAUAAAGCUGAGGGUCAGAGCCUCAUUCAGGGUCAGAGAAGAGCCCUUUCAUCCCCCGCGGUGCUGUCAGCACACAGAAGGCCAGGGGUAGGCAUAUUUUAUAUGGUAAAGAAAACACAAAGAGAUUAAGAGAAGGCAACACGGGACCUCUAAAUUUAGGGCUGUGGUUCAUUACUUGUUGCUAAAUGUUCAUGUGUGGAUUGUGGGUUAUGCCUUAAUUUUCUUGUACUGCUGCUGUCCACCAAAUGGACAAUGGUGAACUAAUCAGAGCAGAGUUUGUGAGGGAAAAACUGGAGACUGUAGCCUUGGUUCUCUUUACUUCUUACUCUAACUGGCAUCCCAUCUGAAAUCUGAGGAAGAAGUAAAGAGUUUCAGGAGAA